rnacentral:rRNA from 1 species
ACUCCUGCGGGAGGCAGCAGUAGGGAAUCUUCCACAAUGGGUGCAAACCUGAUGGAGCAAUGCCGCGUGAGUGAAGAAGGUCUUCGGAUCGUAAAGCUCUGUUGUUAGAGAAGAACACGUGCUAGGUAACUACUAGCGCCUUGACGGUAUCUAACCAGAAAGUCACGGCUAACUACGUGCCAGCAGCCGCGGUAAUACGUAGGUGACAAGCGUUGUCCGGAUUUAUUGGGCGUAAAGGGAGCGCAGGCGGUCUGUUUAGUCUAAUGUGAAAGCCCACGGCUUAACCGUGGAACGGCAUUGGAAACUGACAGACUUGAAUGUAGAAGAGGAAAAUGGAAUGCCAAGUGUAGCGGUGGAAUGCGUAGAUAUUUGGAGGAACACCAGUGGCGAAGGCGAUUUUCUGGUCUAACAUUGACGCUGAGGCUCGAAAGCGUGGGGAGCGAACAGGAUUAGAUACCCCAGUAGUCCC